rnacentral:sRNA from 1 species
AUUACCUCAACCUAUCUAUGGCGCCACGACAGUUCCGUCCUCUUUGAUUCUUUUCACUAUUCUUGCAGGGUUUCCUGCCACCACACAUCUAUUGGGUACAUCCUUCGUCACAACAGAGCCAGCGCCUACAGUGACCCCGUCCCCGAUGGUUACACCAGGCACAAUGAUGACACCUCCACCUAACCAACAAUCUUUGCCGAUGGUGAUAGGUUUAGCCCAUUCAGGUCCGGUAAGGCCAUUCCGUUCUUCUGGGGAUAAAGGGUGUGCGGGUGUGUACAAUUGACAGUUAGGGCCGAUCAUGGUGCGGUCACCGAUAGUUACUAGAUAUAAAGGUUCAAUUAGUAAACACAGCCCAAUUAUACAAAUAUGAGGAUAGCUCAGCAAUUUACUAGGGCAGACGUCAAAGAACUGGCAGUUAUGGCCGACAUAGAUAUCUCGACCGAAAGUGAUUGUGGAGCCCUAAAUUCAUUUGGUAAAAGGAAUAUUGAUUAUAACAUUUCCCUCUUCUCCGCCCCUCAGAUUGACAAGAUCUGCGUACAACUUCAUUCUCUCCUCCAUUGAUCUGGUCUGAUUGAUCUGACAAAGCUUCUCUGCCUGUUCGUCCCGGAUUCGGCAGAGGUAUUUGUCCAUUGCGAGGUAAGGCUUGCCGGCCACCAUGAGCUCGAAUUGGGUGGUGUCUUCGCCCUCGACUGGGGUAGGAGGUUUAACUUUGGAGAAGAGGACGUCAAUUGAGGACAUAUUGGCGAAUGAAGAAGGCGAUAGAUCCGAUGGAGAGCAAUCUCCGAUAGGCGUUACAUGCUGUUUAUAUAUGAUCUUGACCGCACAGAUUAGAAUGCGUAUAUCGCGUUUACAUCUGCGACAACGAACGGCGCGAUUGUCAGGAAAGUUCAGGCACUACGAACAUCUACAUAAAACUCGGUGACAUGGGGAGCUAUAUGAUGGGAUCUUCUAUUUUAUGUGGCGGAU